rnacentral:tRNA from 1 species
GUCAUGACCUAAUUGUCAACUUAAACUUGACAUAU